UACGUAGGUGGCAAGCGUUUAUCCGGAAUUAUUGGGCGUAAAGCGCGCGCAGGUGGUUUCUUAAGUCUGAUGUGAAAGCCCACGGCUCAACCGUGGAGGGUCAUUGGAAACUGGGAGACUUGAGUGCAGAAGAGGAAAGUGGAAUUCCAUGUGUAGCGGUGAAAUGCGUAGAGAUAUGGAGGAACACCAGUGGCGAAGGCGACUUUCUGGUCUGUAACUGACACUGAGGCGCGAAAGCGUGGGGAGCAAACAGG
rnacentral:rRNA from 1 species